UCUAUGUCAUCCAUUUUGUGUGUGAACUUUAGUGUUUUAUUUCCUAUGUAUGGGUAUUUAGGUAGUUUUUUAUAUCUUGCAGUUGUGCAUAUUGCUAUUGCAAAUAACCAUUUUUGUAUUGUUGUAGUUAUAUGUUCAGAAUAGAUUCCUAGAAGUGGACUUUCUAAAUUAAAGAGUGAAUACCUAUGUGGAAUUGUACCAUUUUGUAGUCCCCCUAGCAUUGUGUGCAAAAGUUUUUUUUUUUCUUCUUAGUUUUGAAGCCUUAUUGUAUUGUUAAACUUUUGAAUUUUUGAUCUGAUGGGUGAAAAGUGGAAUUUUAGUGCAGUUUUAAUUUGCAUUUAAAUUCAUUAUGGGAGAAGUUAAAGAACUUUUUAUAUGUUUAAUGGCCAUUUUAUAUCUUUUGGUGAAUUGUCUGUAUUUAUCUUUUUGCCCAUUUUUCUAUAAAUUUUUGCUCACAGAUUUUUUUUUUUUUCGGGGGGUACC
rnacentral:lncRNA from 1 species